rnacentral:rRNA from 1 species
GACGAACGCUGGCGGCGUGCCUAAUACAUGCAAGUCGAACGCAGUGGGUACUGGUGGGUAACACGUGGGUAAGAUCCGAUCAGAGGGGAAAACACUUGGAAACAGGUGCUAAACCGAGACUGAUGGAUGGACCGGGGGUGCAUUAGCUAGUUGGUGAGGUAACGGCUCACCAAGGCAACGAUGCAUAGCCGGUCUGAGAGGGUGACCGGCCACACUGGGACUGAGACACGGCCCAGACUCCUACGGGAGGCAGCAGUAGGGAAUCUUCGGCAAUGGGCGAAAGUCUGACCGAGCCACGCCGCGUGAGUGAAGAAGGUUUUCGGAUCGUAAAGCUCUUUUGUUAGAGAAGCGGUAUCUAACCAGAAAGCACCGGCUAACUACGUGCCAGCAGCCGCGGUAAUAC